rnacentral:lncRNA from 1 species
GGGGAAAUAAAGCUCAGGCAAAAUAUCUGCAGCUCUGGGGGUACGUGCUCUUACAUUGUGGGUGCUUGUUUCUGCCAGCUCAGUUUCAGAGUUCAUGCAGUUACUGAGUUACAGCAGUAACAUGCACCAGCAGAGUUGCAGUGGUUGUUGAGGUGGGCUGCUGUAGCAAGUGGGAGAGGCUAAGACCCACCUGGAGACUGUUCUCUUGGCUCAGAGCUGACAGGCAUCAAAAUGAAAAAGUGCAUGAUUUGGACUACGGUAUCUGGGAAAGAAAUGAAUGUACAACUUUUUUGCAAUUUUGACAUCCAUGUUGCCUACUUCAAACUAGCACCUACUUUGAGAAACGCUGUGAAGAAAAGGACAAAAGGAAAGUCUGGAUGCUACCAAGGAAAUAUCUAUGAGGACUGCAUCCUCAGAAGAAUCUGCAAGGAGCCUUGGAUGUGUCCACAUCCUCAUCCUGACCCCUAGAAUCAAAAGGACCGUGCUGAUCCACUUGUUGCAAGCAAUUAUUUUAGCUGUGAAACUCUAUUGCUACCACGAGCAAGGUCUGUGAGAUGUUUUAACAUCGAUUUCCAUGUGCUACUGCUUUUCUAUAACAUGAGUGAAGUUGAACAGAAAUUAUAGGACUACAGAAUUUGAUGGGACGUAUGAAGUGAGAAUGAAUUUUCCUGCCUCCACUCAAAGCUUGACAGAUGCAGUUAGAUAAACCUAAUCUUAAAGGUUUUAUACCAAGUAAAAUGAAUGUUGUGUGAUAUGCGUGCCGAAACACUGUGUGUCUUGACAAAAUAUGAAGAAAAGACACUCUUUUCUAGCAGCAAAGAGGUCGCUAACUUGUGAGAGAGGAGGAGAAAUCCCUUGGUAUACAUAGAUUACAGGCAGUGGAAUUUUCUUUGAUCUAAACCAACGUCUGUAUCUGCAUUCCUCUAAAUUAAGUGAUACAGUUUGGUGCAUUUUCACUGAAAUGAUGCAAUACAAACAUGCCCAAGCUCCCUUCCCGGGCAGUACUGUGUUAGGGAAUGUUCCCAGCCUUUAUUUACAUAAUUAUCUUGAGCUAUCCAUAGCUUAGUAUCAAGUAUCAGGAAAAAUUUCUUUGAUGAAUGAAAGCAAGGAAUCUAUGUGCUGGAAAAUGAGUUUUUUCACUUUUGUUUCUAUGAAAGGUUUCCAACCUCACUGUCAUUUGUCACUGCAUCAUUGUACUCAAUGUAUGGACACGUAUCAAGGUUAUUUAAAAUGAUCUGUAUGUUUUGUGCUUGUGUAGGAUUGUUAGUGUAGCUUUUUCUCUGUUUAGAGCUGCAAUUUCAUAUUCCAUUACAUUUACUUUGCAGUGCAAUAAAGUAGAUUUUCCUG